AACGAACGCUGGCGGCAGGCCUAACACAUGCAAGUCGAACGCCCCGCAAGGGGAGUGGCGCACGGGUGAGUAACGCGUGGGAAUAUGCCCUUCGGUUCGGAAUAACACAGGGAAACUUGUGCUAAUACCGGAUACGAUCUACGGAUGAAAGAUUCAUCGCCGAAGGAGUAGCCCGCGUAGGAUUAGCUAGUUGGUGAGGUAAUGGCUCACCAAGGCGACGAUCCUUAGCUGGUCUGAGAGGAUGAUCAGCCACACUGGGACUGAGACACGGCCCAGACUCCUACGGGAGGCAGCAGUGGGGAAUAUUGGACAACGGGCGCAAGCCUGAUCUAGCCAUGCCGCGUGAGCGAUGAAGGCCUUAGGGUUGUAAAGCUCUUUCAGGGGGGAAGAUAAUGACUGUACCCCCAGAAGAAGCCCCGGCUAACUCCGCGCCAGCCGCCGCGGUAAGAC
rnacentral:rRNA from 1 species